rnacentral:tRNA from 1 species
CAGGGAGACAACAAAAUGUUUAAUAUUAUUAUUUUGUCACCUUAGGUCGAUCGGUAUCUCACGUUUUUAAUUAAUUAAAAAUUUCAUUUCCUAAGUUUUUUCUAGGUCACACCCAUUAUUUUUCCUGGGCCAUUAGCUCAGGUGGUUAGAGCGCACCCCUGAUAAGGGUGAGGUCCCUGGUUCAAGUCCAGGAUGGCCCAUAUCUCUAUGUUGGGGGUAUAGCUCAGUUGGUAGAGCGCCUGCUUUGCAAGCAGGAUGUCAGCGGUUCGAGUCCGCUUACCUCCACUGAUUACCACCUCUUCCAUAAUCUUAAGGAAACAUUUUGAGUAGUGAUCUAAUUCUGAACGAAGCUAGCUUCCUAAUGAAAUCAUUAAGAUGCUGGACUAAUUGAAUUAAUUUCAUUGUUUUCAGAGAACCUUGACAACUGCAUAGAUUAUUUUUAAAGACAAUAAGCAUCUUUAAUGAUGCAGAUUUAUUAUUUGUGCGAAUGCAUUAAUAACAAUUCUAUUAAGCUGAUGCUUCAAUUUUGAAGUUAUU